rnacentral:rRNA from 1 species
CCUACGGGUGGCAGCAGUAGGGAAUCUUUCACAAUGGGCGAAAGCCUGAUCGAGCAACGCCGCGUGCGGGAUGAAGGUCUUCGGGUUGUAAAGCGCUUUUAUACGCGACAAUGAUGAUGGUAGCGUAUCAAUAAGGAUCGGCGAACUACGUGCCAGCAGCCGCGGUGAUACGUAGGGUGCGAGCGUUAUCCGGAGUGACUGGGGGUGAAGAGUUGCGUGAGGGGGAUAAUAAGUAGCUAGUGAACUCUGGUGGCGCAACCAUUCAGACUAUUAUCUAAACUGUGAAGCUAGAGAAAGGUAGAGGUAACUGGAAUGUCUAGUGUAGGGGUGAAAUUCGUAGAUAUUAGAAGGAACACCAAUAGCGAAGGCAGGUAACUGGGACGUUACUGACGCUAAGGCACGAAAGCGUAGGGAGCAAACGGGAUUAGAUACCCCAGUAGUC